UUAUCAAGGGACUCGUCAAUGC
rnacentral:siRNA from 1 species